rnacentral:rRNA from 1 species
GACGAACGCUGGCGGCGUGCUUAACACAUGCAAGUCGAACGGAAAGGCCCUGCUUUUGUGGGGUGCUCGAGUGGCGAACGGGUGAGUAACACGUGAGUAACCUGCCCUUGACUUUGGGAUAACUUCAGGAAACUGGGGCUAAUACCGGAUAGGAGCUCCUGCUGCAUGGUGGGGGUUGGAAAGUUUCGGCGGUUGGGGAUGGACUCGCGGCUUAUCAGCUUGUUGGUGGGGUAGUGGCUUACCAAGGCUUUGACGGGUAGCCGGCCUGAGAGGGUGACCGGCCACAUUGGGACUGAGAUGCGACCCAGACUCCUACGGGAGGCAACAGUGGGGAAUAUUGAACAAUGGGCUGAACCCUAAUGCAGCAACGCCGCGUGCGGGAUGACGGCCUUCGGGUUGUAAACCGCUUUCGCCUGUGACGAAGCGUGAGUGACGGUAAUGGGUAAAGAAGCACCGGCUAACUACGUG